rnacentral:rRNA from 1 species
AGCAUGUGGUUUAAUUCGAAGCAACGCGAAGAACCUUACCAGGGCUUGACAUCCACAGUAGGCUGUAGACGUAUACCGCUGUGCCUUGCAAGAGGAGCUGUGAGACAGGUGGUGCAUGGUUGUCGUCAGCUCGUGUCGUGAGAUGUUGGGUUAAGUCCCGCAACGAGCGCAACCCUUAUCGCUAGUUGCUAACAGGGAAGCUGAGCACUCUAGGGAGACUGCCGGGGAUAACUCGGAGGAAGGUGGGGAUGACGUCAAAUCAUCAUGCCCUUUAUGUCCUGGGCUACACACGUACUACAAUGGCCGUUACAACGGGAAGCGAAGGAGCAAUCCGGAGCAAAUCCCUUAAAGGCGGUCCCAGUUCAGAUUGUGGGCUGAAACUCGCCCACAUGAAGGCGGAAUUGCUAGUAAUUGCAGAUCAGCAUGCUGCAGUGAAUACGUUCCCGGGCCUU